CCCCAUCCUUAUUCCCUAUCCUUAUCCCCUAACCCUAUCCCCUAGGCCUAGGGGUUGGUUUGAGAUUCAGAGAAUGAUAACUUCCUUAGCCGUCUGACCUCUAGGCUAGGAUAAAUCCGACCUGCUCAUUAAGACACACAUGUAAUGGUAAUACCACCAGGUCAUUACUAUUACCACUGUGGAGAAACAAGUCAUUCUGAUAACAAAGUUAAAAUUCUAACAAAAAAAUCGUGUCGCUUUUCCGACUACUACAGUAAAAUGUAUUUAUUAAUUUGAUUUACUGAAUAGAUUCAAGUAUGUUUUUUUUUUUUUGUUGUCAGCUACGUUUCUCCACGAUUUUGAGCAACAGCAAAAAACAGAAGAAAAAUCAAUGAAUACAUGAAGGUCAUUCUUGGUGGCAUAGUGGGUUUAACACGGUGUGUAUUUGGUCAUAAAAGGAUAAGAUGUCAAAGAGCUACAAUAUGAUUGCAUACAGUUAUCGAGUAUGAAGAUAGACCUCAGCCUUUCUGCUUGCAGCACUCAAAUUACAGAUUUUUUUUUGCAUUAAAAUAACAUGAAUUCCUUCAAUGGAAUAUUUCCACAAUAUGACAAUAAUAAUAAGAAGAAUAUUAUUAAAAUCAACAACAAUAUGGAUUGAGAGAAGGGGGGCUGGAGAGGUAGGUGUGUAAAUAAAGCCGUCGGUAAAAUGUGCAAUAAAACGUACUAUAGAUAUAAGGAACAGUUCAUAUCAUCUGCAAUAUACUGAGGUGGACACAACACAUACAGAUAUAUAUCUAUAUAUAUGUAGAAAGGAAUAUUGAUAAGCAUUAUAGAUCUCAGUUAUCUCCCAACACAUUCUAGAUCUCAGUUAUCUCCCAACACAUUAUAGAUCUCAGUUAUCUCCCAACACAUUAUAGAUCUCAGUUCUCUCCCAACACAUUCUAGAUCUCAGUUCUUUCCCAUCACAUUAUAGAUCUCAGUUAUCUCCCAACACAUUCUAGAUCUCAGUAUCUCAGUUAUCUCCCAACACAUUCUAGAUCUCAGUUAUCUCCCAACACAUUCUAGAUCUCAGUUCUCUCCCAACACAUUCUAGAUCUCAGUUCUCUCCCAACACAUUCUAGAUCUCAGUUCUCUCCCAACACAUUAUAGAUCUCAGUAUCUCAGUUCUCUCCUAACACAUUCUAGAUCUCAGUUCUCUCCCAACACAUUCUAGAUCUCAGUAUCUCAGUUCUCUCCCAACACAUUCUAGAUCUCAGUUCUCUCCCAACACAUUCUAGAUCUCAGUUCUCUCCCAACACAUUAUAGAUCUCAGUUAUCUCCCAACACAUUAUAGAUCUCAGUUAUCUCCCAACACAUUCUAGAUCUCAGUUCUCUCCCAACACAUUCUAGAUCUCAGUUCUUUCCCAACACAUUCUAGAUCUCAGUAUCUCAGUU
rnacentral:lncRNA from 1 species